rnacentral:rRNA from 1 species
UACGAGGGGGGCGAGCGUUGUUCGGAAUUAUUGGGCGUAAAGGGUGCGUAGGCGGUUUGAUAAGUCUUGUGUGAAAUCUCUGGGCUCAACCCAGAGUCUGCAUAGGAAACUGUCGGGCUAGAGUCCGGAAGAGGCGAGUGGAAUUCCUGGUGUAGCGGUGAAAUGCGCAGAUAUCAGGAGGAACACCAAUGGCGAAGGCAGCUCGCUGGGACGGUACUGACGCUGAGACGCGAAAGCGUGGGGAGCAAACAGG